AAGAAUGAGGCUGAAAAGCAGGUAAUUCCAGAUAAAGAAAUGAGGGAUGUGAAAAACGACUCAUGGGAGAUCUUUCCAGAAGAGGAGGCCAUCAGAGAAGAGGAUUCAGACUUGUGGCACUGCGCUCUGACAUCUGUAGAGGAGGCAGAGGGGAAAGAGAAGGAGGUGAAGGAGACGGAGGAGAAGAAACCUCAGGAACAAGAAGAUCUCCCAGACUCUGAGAGGGACCAGGAUGAGAAACCAAGAAUGUCCAAGGACCCUGGCAGCUUGACAAUGACCCCAUCUGGAGGUGUGACCGUCAGUGAGGAGCAACAAAAGACAGUGGCGAAGUGUUUGGAGAAAUG
ensembl:lncRNA